rnacentral:hammerhead_ribozyme from 1 species
AUCCAGCUGACGAGUCCCAAAUAGGAAGAAAUGCACGCCCUGUAU